GCCUCCCGAGUAGUGGGCCACCACACUCAGCUAUUCGGGAGGCUGAGGCUGGAGGAUCUCUUGAGUCCAGGAGUUCUGGGCUGUAGUGCGCUAUGCCAAUCGGGUGUCCACACUAAGUUUGGCAUCAAUAUGGUGACCUCCCAGGAGUGGAGUACCACCAGGUUGCCUAAGGAGGGGUGAACCGGCCCAGGUCAGAAACGGAACAGGUCAAAACUCCUGUGCUGAUCAGUAGUGGGAUCUUGCCUGUGAAUAGCCACUGCACUCCAGCCUGGGCAACAUAGCGAGACUCUGUCUCU
rnacentral:SRP_RNA from 1 species